AGAGUUUGAUCCUGGCUCAGAGCGAACGCUGGCGGUAUGCUUAACACAUGCAAGUCGAGCGAGAAAAUGACUUCGGUCAUGAGUACAGCGGCGGACGGGUGAGUAAUACAUGGAUAAUCUGCCUUUAGGACCGGGACAACCCAGGGAAACUUGAGCUAAUACCGGAUAAGACCACAGAAUCUCCGGAUUCAGUGGUAAAAGGUGGCCUUCGGGCUAUCACCUAUAGAUGAGUCCAUGUCCCAUCAGGUAGUUGGUGAGGUAAUGGCCCACCAAGCCGAAGACGGGUAGCCGACCUUAGCGGGUGAUCGGCCACACGGGGACUGAGACACGGCCCCGACUCCUACGGGAGGCAGCAGUGGGGAAUAUUGGACAAUGGGCGCAAGCCUGAUCCAGCAAUACCGCGUGAGGGAUGAAGGCUUUCGAGUCGUAAACCUCUGUCAGUUGGAACGAUGGGUCUGUAGGUUAAUACCCUGCAGACUUGACGGUACCUUCAAAGGAAGCCCCGGCUAACUCCGUGCCAGCAGCCGCGGUAAUACGGAGGGGGCAAGCGUUGCUCGGAAUUACUGGGCGUAAA
rnacentral:rRNA from 1 species